rnacentral:rRNA from 1 species
GGGUCAGUAGGUUGGUCGUGCCACCGGUACGUACUGGUCUCACUGAUUCCUCCUUCCUGAAGAACCGUAAUGCCAUUAAUUUGGUGUUGCGGGGAAACAGGACUGUUACUUUGAAAAAAUUAGAGUGUUUAAAACAAGCUAGCGCUUGAAUACAUUAGCAUGGAAUAAUGAAAUAGGACGAUCGAUCCUAUUUUGUUGGUUUCUAGGAUUGACGUA